rnacentral:rRNA from 1 species
UAAGAAGUUGAGUGGCGGACGGGUGAGUAACACGUGGGUAACCUGCCUAAAAGAAGGGGAUAACACUUGGAAACAGGUGCUAAUACCGUAUAUCUCUAAGGAUCGCAUGAUCCUUAGAUGAAAGAUGGUUCUACUAUCGCUUUUAGAUGGACCCGCGGCGUAUUAACUAGUUGGUGGGGUAACGGCCUACCAAGGUAAUGAUACGUAGCCGAACUGAUAGGUUGAUCGGCCACAUUGGGAUUGAGACACGGCCCAAACUCCUACGGGAGGCAGCAGUAGGGAAUCUUCCACAAUGGACGCAAGUCUGAUGGAGCAACGCCGCGUGAGUGAAGAAGGUCUUCGGAUCGUAAAACUCUGUUGUUAGAGAAGAACACGAGUGAGAGUAACUGUUCAUUCGAUGACGGUAUCUAACCAGCAAGUCACGGCUAACUACGUGCCAGCAGCCGCGGUAAUACGUAGGUGGCAAGCGUUGUCCGGAUUUAUUGGGCGUAAAGGGAACGCAGGCGGUCUUUUAAGUCUGAUGUGAAAGCCUUCGGCUUAACCGGAGUAGUGCAUUGGAAACUGGAAGACUUGAGUGCAGAAGAGGAGAGUGGAACUCCAUGUGUAGCGGUGAAAUGCGUAGAUAUAUGGAAGAACACCAGUGGCGAAAGCGGCUCUCUGGUCUGUAACUGACGCUGAGGUUCGAAAGCGUGGGUAGCCAACAGGAUUAGAUACCCUGGUAGUCCACGCCGUAAACGAUGAAUGCUAGGUGUUGGAGGGUUUCCCGCCCCUUCAGUGCCGCAACCUAACGCAAUAA